CCUACGGGUGGCAGCAGUGAGGAAUAUUGGUCAAUGGGCGCGAGCCUGAACCAGCCAAGUAGCGUGAAGGAUGACUGUCCUACGGGUUGUAAACUUCUUUUAUAGAGGAAUAAAGUGAGGUACGCGUACCUUUUUGUAUGUACUUUAUGAAAAAGCAUCGGCUAACUCCGUGCCAGCAGCCGCGGUAAUACGGAGGAUGCGAGCGUUAUCCGGAUUUAUUGGGUUUAAAGGGUGCGAAGGCGGCUGAUAAAGUCAGCGGUAAAAUUUCGGGGCUAAACCCCGACGUGCAGUUGAAACUGGUGUGCUUGAGUGGGCGAGAAGUAUGCGGAAUGCGUGGUGUAGCGGUGAAAUGCAUAGAUAUCACGCAGAACUCCGAUUGCGAAGGCAGCAUACCGGCGCCCAACUGACGCUGAGGCACGAAAGCGUGGGUAUCGAACAGGAUUAGAUACCCGUGUAGUC
rnacentral:rRNA from 1 species